rnacentral:lncRNA from 1 species
GUCAAAGGUUACGGCGCAUCCCGGAGCUUUUCUCGAAAUACUCAUGCGCGAUAUGAACCCCAUUUAACCGUCUUGAUAUCGCCCGUAUUACAUGAAGCUGCUUGCACUCGCGGAGGCGUCCCUCUACCUGAUACACAACCUUCGCAACCCUUUCGUAUACUACGCCAAUCAUCAGCGGGAGAGCACAAGAGCGCGGGGGGAAUGAGAACGAAAGGAGAAAAAAGAGGGAAGAUUCACGCGCGAUAUGUGACAUCCGACUACUCUUACCUUGAGAGGCCUUGUGAUUGUGACAGUCUCGAUGGUCGUCGCCUGAGGCAUCUUUAUUUCCUCCUCGUAUUUUCUCUGACUAGGCGGAACGUAUAUCGGGCCUGAUAUUUCGAAAGAAGGACAAAUUAGAAGAAAUUAUGACGCACCCUGCGAGCCUGCUGCAACUCGCAUUUCGCUUUUCGCUCGGCAUUAUACCGGGUUUCUUCGAGCCAGAGUCGAGGCACUUUCGAGUGGAGUAGCAUCGACGAAACAUAUCCGCUGCGAGGAUACAAUGGGAUCAUCGAUUUGUUACGGCAAAAAAAUCGAAGAGUCGAGGCGCUCGAAAACACAUACAAGCAUCACGCGUUCUUGUUACAACGCACGCCUGCGCCUUUUUAAAUUCCACCGUCAACCUGUUGAACGCACGGCUAAAAUAAUAACUAUACCGUAAUAGAGGAAACUACACGUUUUGGGUAUGAAUCCACAAUCAAGAAGCAGAAAUUUCCUAAGAAUACAGCCCAUUCAUGUUCAAUUGAUUCCUCAUGAAAGAAGCAUAUUAUUAUGCAUAUUAAGCAACGAUCAAAAUUUUUAUAUGGAUCACAAAUAGAAACGGAGACUGCUCGUUGCUAGUUCACAUUUUUUCUUUCGAUCAGGAUCAAUGAAUUUCCGGAAGAAUCCUGCGUAACAAAAUCAUCACACUCCGAAUGUGAAAAAUUGAGUUCAUCCAACACGCUGGUCCUGGUUUCUCCACUCCAUGGAAAUUUCCUGCAGUUAGGAAAAUCGCUUUAAUGGUGCGUGUGGAUGGGAUUUGAGUAAAUUCAUUGCUGCAAUAUCGUUUUUGUAAUCAGAUGGAGCGAAAACGGGAAAAUGAGGCGUUUAUUCCGUAGAAUCAAACAGCAGAUGUACAGCAGAUGUUGGAGAGUAAGAAGUUUUUUCUUGUUUUUCAUGAAAUAAAAUUUCGUUUUGAGAAA